AAGGAGCACCACGAGACCUGGGCCGGCCCCGCAGAUCGCGGGAUCAGCUGAGCUUUCAGGCGAUUCGUUGGAUGGCCUCGCACCUGUAGUGGGUGGGGGUCUGGUGCACUCAACAAACUUGGCGUGGGAUGCGGGAAAGCAUCUGCGGAAAAUCAUCAGACACACUAUUGGGCUUUGAGACAACAGGCCCGUGCCCCUUUUUUGGGGGGUGGCUCCCGCGUUGGUGGGUGUCGGCGUGUUGUUGCCUCACUUUGGUGGUGGGGUGUGGUGUUUGAUUUGUGGAUAGUGGUUGCGAGCAUCUAGCGCGCAGAAUGUGUGGUCUCA
rnacentral:misc_RNA from 1 species